UACAGAGGGUGCAAGCGUUGUUCUGAAUUAUUGGGCGUAAAGCGCGUGUAGGCGGCUUAGCAAGUCGGGCGUGAAAGCCCUCGGCUCAACCGAGGAAGUGCACCCGAAACUGCUGAGCUUGAGUGCCGGAGAGGAUGGCGGAAUUCCCCAAGUAGAGGUGAAAUUCGUAGAUAUGGGGAGGAACACCGGUGGCGAAGGCGGCCAUCUGGACGGUAACUGACGCUGAGACGCGAAAGCGUGGGGAGCAAACAGG
rnacentral:rRNA from 1 species